UUAUUAAUUAAGAAAAGAACAGUAGUUAUUUUUAAUAUCUAUUUUAAUGCUGUUUUACAUGACUCAAAACUCUGAAAAUCCUAAAAUUUCACGUCACUUACUAGUAGCUAUACAAUUAUGUAGGCUAAUUUACAGAAGUCGUUGCUGAUUUAAGUAUUAGUUAACAAGAGCAAAGUUUAGCAUAAAAAAUGCAAUAAUGCUUUAAAAUUAAACAAAAAGGCUGAGUGAUACAAAAUCUUAAAAUAUAAAAGUGCCACUUUGUCCCACUAAUUUUGCGAUUUUAAUAGUAUUUUAAUGAGAUUUUAAAUUGUUUAAAGUGUUCUAAUUGUAGAUGUUUAUUUAAACGCUGCGUGACUGUGAUGUGUUUUAAUGUGCGUGAGCGCUGAGUCUCAUUCAAACGCAGGAGUUUCCAUGGCAACACUGCAAAUGAUAAAUCUCAACACUCCUUCUCUCGCUGCUGUUUUCACCGUUUUGAGGUGAGUUUAGUCCCUAUAAUGACACAAAUAAUACAUAUAACUGUUCCUGACACUUUUUUUACUUUUAAUUGACUCGCUUGUGUUGAAUAUUCACUUCAUAGAAAUAGUUUACAGUCUUUGAAAAAAGUCUGUUAGCAUCUCAACUGUUUUCAGGUGAGAAAAGAAGCUCCAAGGUUUCAAUAUUUCUGAAGGGAGCUGCUGAAAGAAAUGCAGGAAACACAGAUUCUUCUAUGCUGAUGGCCGUGCAGCAGAGUUGGAGUGGACCUCCUGUUAGACAACAUCUCUAAGGCGCUAUGAACCAUGUGACUAGCAAGUAAAACCUCAAACAUACA